AGUGAACGCUGGCGGUAGGCCUAACACAUGCAAGUCGAACGGCAGCACAGUAAGAGCUGGCUCUUACGGGUGGCGAGUGGCGGACGGGGGAGGAAUACAUCGGAAUCUACUUUUUCGUGGGGGAUCACGUAGGGAAACUUACGCUAAUACCACAUACGAACUGCGGGUGAAAGCCGGGGAUCUUCGGACCUUGCGCGAUUGAAUGUGCAGAUGUCGGAUUAGCUAGUUGGCGGGGUAGAGGCCCACCACGGCGACGAUCAUUAGCUGGUAUGAGGGGAUGGACAGGCAGAUUGGAAGUGAGACACGGUAGAGACACCGACAGGGGGCAGCAGUGCGGAAUAUUAGACGAAGGGCGCAAGCCUGAUCCAGCCAUACCGCGUGGAUGAAGAAGGAGUUCUGCUUGGUGAGCCAAUUUGUUGGUAGAGAAAAGCAGCAGGUUAAUACCCCGCUAUUAUGACGGUACCCAAAGAAUAAGCACCGGCUAACUUCGUG
rnacentral:rRNA from 1 species